rnacentral:rRNA from 1 species
UACAGAGGUCUCAAGCGUUGUUCGGAUUCAUUGGGCGUAAAGGGUGCGUAGGUGGCGCCGUAAGUCAGGUGUGAAAUUUCGGAGCUUAACUCCGAAACUGCAUUUGAUACUGCGGUGCUUGAGGACUGGAGAGGAGACUGGAAUUUACGGUGUAGCAGUGAAAUGCGUAGAGAUCGUAAGGAAGACCAGUGGCGAAGGCGGGUCUCUGGACAGUUCCUGACCAGCUGAGGCACGAAGGCCAGGGGAGCAAACGGG